AACGAACGCUGGCGGCAGGCUUAACACAUGCAAGUCGAGCGCCCCGCAAGGGGAGCGGCAGACGGGUGAGUAACGCGUGGGAACGUACCCUUAUCUUCGGAAUAGCUCCGGGAAACUGGAAUUAAUACCGAAUGUGCCCUUUGGGGGAAAGAUUUAUCGGAUAAGGAUCGGCCCGCGUUGGAUUAGCUAGUUGGUGGGGUAAAGGCCUACCAAGGCGACGAUCCAUAGCUGGUCUGAGAGGAUGAUCAGCCACAUUGGGACUGAGACACGGCCCAAACUCCUACGGGAGGCAGCAGUGGGGAAUAUUGGACAAUGGGCGCAAGCCUGAUCCAGCCAUGCCGCGUGAGUGAUGAAGGCCCUAGGGUUGUAAAGCUCUUUCAGUAGGGAAGAUAUGACGGUACCUACAGAAGAAGCCCCGGCUAACUUCGUGCCAGCCGCCGCAGUAACAC
rnacentral:rRNA from 1 species